rnacentral:lncRNA from 1 species
UAAACAUCUUAAAUUAUUUUUUUUUCUUUGAUUUUUCAGUUUUUUUAUCAUCUUAUUUGUUACGUCCUGGGGGGGGGGGAGUAACCGGGGCCGAGCGUGAACCGUGAUUCCCCAGGAGCGUAAUUUACUGAGUGCGAGUUUGUGGGUAAAAAAAAAAUGCAUCCGCUUAUGGAAUAUGUAUAUAUUUUUUCUUUUAUUAUUUUAUAAAUGUUCCUCCGCCUGCUUUCCUCGUUUUGGAGGUGGUGCUUUAGGAAAAGAGUUUAGGCCAAAAAUAAUAAAAAAAAAAGAGUACCUCUUUUCAUUUGUGGGUACUUUUCGGAUGCUAGUGAGAGGAAGAGCGUACAAUUUGCGACAAGGUGUAGAAAGCGUGAGGGGGAGCGCCCAGGGAGGGCGCAACAAAUCCCACGCCAAGGAAAGAUGGGGCGUUUGUGACGGAGAGCGCCCUAUGGGCUGCCCUGUGGUACACAGUUAGGUAGAGGGACGACGUAGGGGGUGAAAAGCGCCUUAAUAGGCGCCCGUUGUCUCCUGGACACCUUCUAACUUAAGCGCCCCGGUAGGCACCCCUGGCCUGAAGUUCAGGGAAGAAGCAGGCGCCUAAGUCGUAGCGCCCUGCUUCCAGGAUGAGGAUUCAGGGAAGUCGCUGUUUCGCUUCAGAAUAUUUUUGGGAGCACCGAGGAUGGUUUGCCCCGUAUUUUGCCCCACUUAAUUUAAUAAUUCUCGCGCACAAUAAGGUAAUACAAGUAAGAAAUUUUCUUUUAGUCACUAGGUAUAUAAUUUUUAUUAUAGUUUAUAUUGAGCAGAAUAAAGUAGAGUGAGUUUACACUUAAUCGAUUUUUUUUUUAUAACAAUUUUUAUAAGAGUGAAUUUACGGCGUUUGUAGAUAAAAGAGAUGUUACUUACGCACUGUAGCGUUUGCUUCUUGUAUCAAGAAUUCAAUGGACACAGCGUAGUAUACUUAGUAAUCGACUUCUUAAGAGCGCGAUGGCUAAUAACAAUUGAUAGUACUUCUUUUGGGCAGAGUAACGUCUUGCCAGAGCGUAUGCUUGCAGGCAGCGUGACUUGCUAUACGAGCGAAAAUGCUGAUUUCUGAGGCUCUCGCGCUCCUUAUAUACCCCAAAACUAGGGGGUCCUAGGGGUACGCGGGUGUAGGGAAGCUCAAAUCCAUGGAAAAAUCCGCGACAAAUAGCUAUUAUUUUUGAAAUUUCAUAGUUUCUAAUUUUUAUUCGGUCAUUCAUAAAUCAUUCAUAAACUUCGGUCAAGAGGUAGCCAGGGUGGUUAGCGUUCGAAUGCUUCCUUCGCCUUCCUCCUAUCACCUCUGUGAGCGGAGUAAUUAAACCGCAUACCUUCGUAAUUACUUUACUCAUGUUAUCUCGCUCAUACUUCCCGGUUGGAAUAAUGCUCGAGCCAUUGCUAUCCCACUUGGUACACGCGCUCCGCGGCUGGACCGACUCUUCGGCAGCGCGAGGGUGUCACGCGUGAACCGCAUGGUUGAAAAAUAUUCACAUUAUUCCAGGUUGUUAAUAAUGUGAAAGAGCUAUAGCAUGACUGCGACGGAUUGCAGUAAUAUUAAUUAACAAAGGAGUUGGGGGGUGGCGGUUGCACCCUGUCGUUAAUAGCAAAUAGAAAGGUGACGAAAGAAUAUUACUCUUUUAGCGAAAUUUUUAAUUAUACGCGGCAUGAUUCGAUGGAUUUGAGCUUUGACAAUUGAGGUAAUAAUUACGCACGCAAUAAUAAUAAAAUUAAUAAAGAGUGUAAGCGUAGGGUGUACGCGCUGAUACCCCGCGCGUCUGAUUUCGUGGGGAGGGGAGCGCUCGGUAAGACGGGUGCUCCGGCGGAGCACGCGAGAGCGUGGUGCGCGACGUGAGAUAAGAUGAGUGAAAAAUUUUCAUUGAACGUAACAGUAUUCUUUUCUUUUAAAAGAUUCCCUUGAUUUUGGCUCUUCUUUAAUUAUUCGACAAUUACGAUCUACUAUCUUUUUUCUUUUUCCUUAUUUUCAAAAUACAUUUGUACUUGAACCAAUAAUUCAUCAAAGCCAUCAUCGAAUUCUAUUGAGCGGACAUAGCAACUCCCAGGGAGCUCUGUGCGAAUUUUUUGGAAGCUUAAAUGAAGCUUAUAAAAAAUUUUGUGAGUUUCUUGGGAGCUCCCCGUGCUGUGUGGGUAAUAUAAUGCUGUAUAAUUCAAUAUGGGUUUAUAAAUAUCUUGGUAUAAUUUGUGACGUGGUAGCUUAGCUGCCACGGGUAGCAGCGUCCCUCCCCCGUCACAGGCUGCAAAUUCGCGCCGUACGGGGAAAAUAGGCGAGAGGCGAGAGGGGAUUUCCAGGGGGAACCGCGACGGACCGAGCGAGCUUAUUAUUAAUGUUACAUAUUUUUGAUUUCUUUGCGCGGCGACCGUCUCUCGAUGGAAUUCGGCGAGAGAGCGAGAGAGAAGGAGAGUGAGGGACGGCGAUGCAGGGAAGGAGGAAGGACGCCACCGGUGCCCGGGAGAAACGAGCACGCGGCCCGCACGGGAACUCGGCGUGGCCCUGGGAAAGCCACGGCCGGAGCCUAAAGCGGCGGUGCCCGCCAACACCACGGCGGAAUAUCUCGGAGGGCUGUGGAGGAGCCCGGAUGGGACCAAACGCGUCGAGGGAGGCGUCAAGUCCUCUCGCGAGGAACGGAGGUCUCCGCGUGCGCUGCCCCGGCUCGGGAAGUGGCCCAGCGGGAGAAAGAAAAUUUCGCGGGGGCCUGCGAGGCCCCCGGAAGGAUUACGGCGCGCACGUCCCUGCGUACGCAGGACUGCGUGCCUUGCAGCAAUUGGGUUACGGCGCGAAAACAAUGCGCAUGACCGAACGGGGGGUCGCGGCGUCGAUCCGGGAUCGACCGCGAUCCACCCCGCUUUUGCGUGCGAGCGAGCUAGAAGUAAGGUCGCGUGUCGUGCCCCGAAGGGCUAGUUAUCGGUGUGGCUGGUGAGAGGCCUCAGCGAGAGCCCAGAGACGAGCCUAGAGACGAGGGAGGACAUCGCCUUGGACGUUAUCGAUUAACUGAUGGACAUUUGUUUAGAAGGAGAAUGGCAAUAAGACAUACAUUGUAACCUAUUUAAUAAUAACGAAUUUUGCGUGAGUGAUUAUAACACCUCUUACGUAAACGUUUUUGAUCAACGAAGAAUGACGAUGCCACUGUAUAAUUUGUGUCCUAAUCAUCUGGUACGUCGCAUCCCCGUUGAAAAGAUUCAGAUGGAAAUAUAUAUAUUUUGAAGAACAAAAAGACAAUGACUAUAUAAUUGCUAAAUAUAAUUACAAUGGAACAGCAAUUCUUACAUCUUAUGAUGGAGACAUCUUUUUAUUCGAGAAUCUAUUAAUGUGUGAAAAUUAUACUCAUACAUAUUGCGGCCGUACAGAUAGACGUAAUGAACGGGCAGUCAAUUUUUUUGGACCCAAAAGCGAAUA